rnacentral:rRNA from 1 species
AACGAACGCUGGCGGCAGGCCUAACACAUGCAAGUCGAGCGCCCCGCAAGGGGAGCGGCAGACGGGUGAGUAACGCGGGGGAAUCUACCGUGCCCCAAGGAAUAGCUCCGGGAAACUGGAAUUAAUACCUUAUACGCCCUUUGUGGGACAGAAUUAUCGGGGUAUGAUGAGCCGGCGUUGGAUUAGCUAGUUGGUGGGGUAAAGGCCUACCAAGGCGACGAUCCAUAGCUGGUCUGAGAGGAUGAUCAGGCACAUUGGGACUGAGACACGGCCCAAACUCCUACGGGAGGCAGCAGUGGGGAAUAUUGGACAAUGGGCGCAAGCCUGAUCCAGCCAUGCCGCGUGAGUGAUGAAGGCCCUAGGGUUGUAAAGCUCUUUCACCGGUGAAGAUAAUGACGGUAACCGGAGAAGAAGCCCCGGCUAACUUCGUGCCAGCCGCCGCAGUAA